UUAAUACCGCAUACGCCCUAACGGGGGAAAGAUUUAUCGGGGAUGGAUGAGCCCGCGUUGGAUUUAGCUAGUUGGUGGGGUAAAAGGCCUACCAAGGCGACGAUCCAUAGCUGGUCUGAGAGGAUGAUCAGCCACAUUGGGACUGAGACACGGCCCAAACUCCUACGGGAGGCAGCAGUGGGGAAUAUUGGCAAUGGGCGCAAGCCUGAUCCAGCCAUGCCGCGUGAGUGAUGAAGGCCUUAGGGUUGUAAAGCUCUUUCACCGAUGAAGAUAAUGACGGUAGUCGGAGAAGAAGCCCCGGCUAACUUCGUGCCAGCAGCCGCGGUAAUACGAAGGGGGCUAGCGUUGUUCGGAAUUACUGGGCGUAAAGCGCACGUAGGCGGAUAUUUAAGUCAGGGGUGAAAUCCCGCAGCUCAACUGCGGAACUGCCUUUGAUACUGGGUAUCUUGAGUAUGGAAGAGGUAAGUGGAAUUCCGAGUGUAGAGGUGAAAUUAGUAGAUAUUCGGAGGAACACCAGUGGCGAAGGCGGCUUAUGGUCCAUUACUGACGCUGAGGUUCGA
rnacentral:rRNA from 1 species